rnacentral:lncRNA from 1 species
UACCAAUGGCUGAGCAUGGAAAGAUGCACCUCCAUGUCAAAAAUUAUGCGAUUUUAUCCAAAAUUAUGCGCUCUGUCGUAAAACGUAAAAACAAUUUUAACCUUUACUGCGCAUGCGCAGAAAUUCAAAAGUCUUGACGUGUCAAAGCAUUUUUUUGACAAAUGACAUUAAAUAUUUUUGUAAAUAAAUAUUUACGAACAACCUAUCAAAUUUUUACAUGUAAUAAGAUCUUAGACCCAAAUAAAAAUUAAAAUCAUUAAAAAGGGAGUUGUUAAAAUACUUUUGCAUAUUAUGGAUAUAAAAUGGGGAAUUUAUGGACAAUGUAUUAUUAGGGAAUAGUGGACAAGUCCUCAACUACCUAAAAUGACACCAUUAGAAGAUUCACCAAGAAUUGUGAUUGAAAGAACAUUUGGUAUUUUGAAGAGAUUUCCCAUUUUAACGUGUGUAAUAAGAAGCAAGUUACCAUUUUUUCAAAGAAUAAUAUGAGCUUGUUGAGUUCUACAUAAUAUUGCAUUAGUUAAUAGAGGAAACAUUGAAAUACUGACAAAUAAGUGUGCUGUUGAUAUUGAUAUAGAACAUUUUCAACCAGAAGCAAAUCUACACUAAAAUCAUAAUAAAGAUGCACAGAAAUAAACAAACCAAGACACGUUGAAUGUUACGAGGAGCACUCCCGAAUCAUGAUUUACAAUGUAUAAAUUUUGUAAAUCAUUAUUUGGGAUUUACAAUGUAUUCACAUUGUAAAUUAUGAUUUGGGAGUGCUCCUCGUAACAUUCAACGUGUCUUGGUUUGUAUUAGUGAUGUAACAAAUGUCAUUUUUUUAACAUUCGUGAAUACGAUUGUGAAUAUCUGCUAACAACAUUCGUGAAUGCGGAUGCGAAUGCAAAUGUUGAGUUUUUUAAAUUUGUUUCUAUUUUUGCAGUGGUUUAUUUUAUAAUGAAAAAUUAAUUGAUAUUUAGUGAAAAUCAAUGUGAAUCUUAAAGCUUUAUUGCAUAAUAGCAAAUAAUAAAAUAAAGUGAAGACUGAUAAUGUACCUAGAAGUAAGUACCUUCUCUGAAUAAAUAAAGAUGAAAAGUGAAUAGAUUUUGAAAAAUAUGAGAAUAUUCGCGAAUGCGAAUACGAAUAUUUGUUACAUCAUUAGUUUGUUUAUAUCUGGUGCAUCUUUAUUGUGAUUCUAGUAUAGUGCAACUAAAUUUUGUGUGUUUGUUUUAAAAUAUUAUUCAUAAAUUCAAGACAAGCUUACUGUUGUAAUUUUAUUUUUACUGGACUGCAGUUUGUUAAUAAUUUUAUAAAUAAAUAUAUUAUGUAGUAGCUGAUUUUAAGUAUUUUAUUAUUAUUAGCAGUUUAUAAAUACAUAAUUGAUAUUGGUGUUUGAUUUUACGUAUCAUUUAAAAUAUAUUACAUCUCUUUUGAAAAAGUAAUAUUUUGAUUAAAAACUUUACAGAUUCUACUUUAUAAAGGAUUAAAAUUUCAAAAAUAAAUACUUAAACAUUA